rnacentral:rRNA from 1 species
UACGAAGGGUGCAAGCGUUACUCGGAAUUACUGGGCGUAAAGCGUGCGUAGGUGGUGAGUUAAGUCUGUCGUGAAAGCCCCGGGCUCAACCUGGGAAUGGCGAUGGAUACUGGCUCGCUAGAGUGCGGUAGAGGAGAGUGGAAUUCCCGGUGUAGCAGUGAAAUGCGUAGAGAUCGGGAGGAACAUCAGUUGCGAAGGCGGCUCACUGGCUCGUUACUGACGCUCAGGCACGACAGCGUGGGGAUCAAACAGG